rnacentral:rRNA from 1 species
GACGAACGCUGGCGGCGUGCUUAACACAUGCAAGUCGAACGUGAUUUUUGUGGAAAUUCUUUCGGGAAUGGAAAUGAAAUGAAAGUGGCGAACGGGUGAGUAACACGUGAGCAACCUACCUUACACAGGGGGAUAGCCGUUGGAAACGACGAUUAAUACCGCAUGAGACCACAGAAUCGCAUGAUAUAGGGGUCAAAGAUUUAUCGGUGUAAGAAGGGCUCGCGUCUGAUUAGCUAGUUGGAAGGGUAAAGGCCUACCAAGGCGACGGUCAGUAGCCGGUCUGAGAGGAUGAACGGUCACAUUGGAACUGAGACACGGUCCAAACUCCUACGGGAGGCAGCAGUGGGGAAUAUUGCACAAUGGGGGGAACCCUGAUGCAGCGACGCCGCGUGAGCGAAGAAGGUUUUCGAAUCGUAAAGCUCUGUCCUAUGAGAAGAUAAUGACGGUAUCAUAGGAGGAAGCCCCGGCUAAAUACGUGCCAGCAGCCGCGGUAAUACGUAUGGGGCGAGCGUUGUCCGGAAUUAUUGGGCGUAAAGGAUACGUAGGCGGUUUUUUAAGUCAGGUGUGAAAGCGUGAGGCUUAACCUCAUUAAGCACUUGAAACUGGAAGGCUUGAGUGAAGGAGAGGAAAGUGGAAUUCCUAGUGUAGCGGUGAAAUGCGUAGAUAUUAGGAGGAAUACCGGUGGCGAAGGCGACUUUCUGGACUUUUACUGACGCUCAGGUACGAAAGCGUGGGGAGCAAACAGG